rnacentral:lncRNA from 1 species
AGUGUACGUCUUCAUAUUCCUUUCUUUCUGCAUUUAAGUUCUCUUAACGGUUUGACAAUGUUGUUUUCGUUACCGUGCCAACAGUGAACUUGCAGGGUCAAUGUGGAAGCCAAGAGAUUUCAAGCGAGUGUAUUUUUAUGCUGUCUUAUAUACUCUCACCUUGACGCUACCAUCUGCAUCAACUGUAUACUGGGCUUUUGGCGAUAGGAUGCUGCACAACGCUAACGCCUUCGCUGUUCUUCCCAGGACGAAGUUCCGCGAUGCCGCGGUAGUGCUGAUUAUCAUCCACCAGGUUUGUCAAAGAGUGUUUAUCCUUUUUUCUUUGUGUGUGCCAUUGUUCUAACUCUUUUAUCUUGCAGUUCUUUGAAUUUGGUCUCGUAGCGUUGCCAUUCUUCAUUAUGUGUGAGAAGCUUUUUGGGAUUCACCACUCGAAUUACUACCUGUUAAAAGUGGCUGCCAGGAUACCGGUUUUUCUCCUCAUAUGGUUUUGUGCGAUUAUGCUGCCUUUCUUUGGUCCCAUCGACUCCUUCAACGGUUCCUUUUUUACAACGCUCGCUGUUUACUUCCUUCCAUGCCUUGUGCAUAUGAUCGUCUUCAGAAGUGAGAAGGCACGCAAGGUAAAUGGUUUUUGUUUCCCUUUGCAUGUUGGUAACUUAACAAUGGCUUUUUGUUUUCUUAAAAGAGUUCAUUUGAGCAACCUCCAUUCUGGAUACGCAGCUGGGCUGGAAUGUAUUGCAUCAAUCUGGGAGUGAUUUUGUGGGUGGUGGUGGUGGGUGUUGGGAUUGGAGGAUGGGCAACGAUUUCCAAUUUGACAAGACAAGUGCGAAGCUUUGGGCUUUUUGCGAGGUGUUACCAGUGUCCACCAAAGUCUUGACGUCAGGAAGUUUUUUAGUGGAAGAGGUUCUUCCUGUAAACAAACCAUAUAUUACGUGGUCGCAUGUCCGCGGGUUCGAUCCCCGGCAACGGCGGAUUAACAAUCCGUGGUAACAACUCCCAAGCCCGAGGGACCAUCGGUGUUGAAGAUGGAAAAGGUUCGUUGGAGGCACUCUAGUUUCAUAUUUGAUUGUGGUGGUUUGGACGUGAUCAAUUCUUGCACCCUUAUGGAUUGACACUGUAACCAACUGGACAAGUGCGUGCUCUCUCUCGCAUGCUCUCUCUCUCUCUCUUUCUCUCUCUCUCCCUCUCCCCUAUCAUGAACAAGAGCAAAGACUACGGCUUCUUGGGCUUCAAGAACACCGAGAAGUCCAUCUGCUUGUGGAUCCAGAAAAUGAAGGAUAAAAAAAUCAUACUUAGUGACUGCUUCAAGAUUGAAGUGUGUGUACAGUAAGCAGCAGCCCGUCUCUCAAUUUAUCUAUCCCUGGAAACUUCAUUCCUUGUCUGGGCUUGUUUAGAAGUCAAGUCCAUAAUCAGCUACUUGGUAGCUUCCCUUGCAUCGUACUUCUCCUCUUUUUUCAAUUUCAGUGAUGCACAGAGUAUGGAUUCUAGUAGCAUCUCUCUGAGUGUCUGGGAUGAGUCCUCUCAACUAGAUCUAGUAGAUACCUCCUCAUCGCAGCGGCAGGAGCCUGCCAGUUCAGCGAUUGUGCCGCAGGAAACCGUCGGUGCUUCACGGUAUCGCGAGUUUAUCGAUAGAGUUUUAUGGAACGGAGGAUCGUCUUUCGAUGCCUGGCUCAACGCAGCGUCUUUUCAGGUUCGUGUGAGCUUUCUUUCUCCAGGUUCUUCUCACCGCUUUGUUCUUGCAGGUGUCUCAAGUCUUGCUCAAUCUCCCAUUCACAUUCGCUCAGAUGGGAAUGGCAUCAGGCAUUACUUUCCAAUUGCUCUAUGGCAUGAUGGGGUCCUGGGUUUCUUACAUCAUGACCAGCGUGUACCUCACUUAUCUAGCAACGCAAAGCUCGCAGCAGAAGAAAAAUCACGUUGUUCAGGUUUGUAUCAGUGAGAUCUCGCAGAGUGCUCUUGGCUGACCUUCCCUUCCAGUGGUAUGAAGUUAUGGAGUUUUUCCUCGGGCCUUGGGGCAAGGGAGCGACAUUGCUAUUAUACUUUUGCGGCUUGUCCUCCGGUGCCAUGAUCCAAAUGGUAGCCUGUGCGAGGUGCUUGAUUUUCUAAUGCUUUUCAAUUCUCUGCCUUUAUCCUGGAUAGCAUUGCAGUGCCGCGUACUAUAUCAAUGAUAGUCUCGACAAACGGACAUGGACCCUUGUCCUGGGGCCGUUCAUGUUUCUGGGUGUUUUGCUCCCCUCGCCGCGUAAUUAUCGGAUGUGGUCUUUUGCUGGGAUUAUCAUGACGACAUAUGUGGCUUGGUAUUUAACCAUUGCUGCAGCAGUCCACGGGAGAGUAAGCCGUUUGACAAUGGUAAAGUCACUGUGCUGAAUCUUGGGAAUUUGCAGGAUCCGGGGGUGAAGCACACUGGUCCUCAUAGCCUGGAAAACUAUUUUUUGGGCGCAUCUAACAUAAUCUACACAUUUGGAGGACACGGACUGACAGUGUACGUCUUCGUAUUCCUUUCUUUCUGCAUUUAAGCUCUCAUAACGGUUUGACAAUGUUGUUUUCGUUACCGUGCCAACAGUGAACUUGCAGGGUCAAUGUGGAAGCCAAGAGAUUUCAAGCGAGUGUAUUUUUAUGUCGUCUUAUAUACUCUCACCUUGACGCUACCAUCUGCAUCAACUGUAUACUGGGCUUUUGGCGAUAGGAUGCUGCACAACGCUAACGCCUUCGCUGUUCUUCCCAGGACGAAGUUCCGCGAUGCCGCGGUAGUGCUGA